AACUGAAUAUUCUAUGCCUCCAAUUCUUCCGUCCUUACUAAGACUCAAGUGCGAAUCGUUGAGCCUUCUUGGUUGCAUGAACCGUCCUCCUUGGCGGUGUCGACAAUGUUAAUCUGGAUAACUGCUCCAACCAAAAAUCC